rnacentral:lncRNA from 1 species
CCUUUCUCUGGAGGAGCUCCGCGCGUGGCGAGUCUGUGUCCUCCCUGUCCCCCAGAGCAGAGAACCCUCUCUGUGUCUGGACGGGGGAGGAGCAGACGCUGGACAGGUUUUUGGCAAAAUGCUGGCAAUUCCCAGGAAGAUAUGUGGAGAACGGAAAGGUUGCUACACCCAAAUAGUGGCGCAAAGGCUAUGAUUAUGGAGGAUUGGACCUGCAAACUCCAGAACAGAGUUCUGCCCUCUGAGGACCCUGCCCUUUCCCAAAAGGGGUAUCUUAAGAAGGAAAAUAUGGCUGCUCUUUGCCGGACAGCAGAGUCCCAGAACCCCAUGCAGGUGUUUCAGGGCUUUACGUCAUUCAAGGAUGUGGCUGUGAACUUCACUAGGAAGAAUGGAGAGUACUGGACCUUGCUCAGAGAGUCUUGUACAGGGAUGUAAUGCUGGAGAACUAUAGGAACCUGGUCUCCUUGGGAUUUCCAUUUUCCAAACCUGGUAUCAUCUCCUAGUUGGAAGAAGUGGUAGGCCCACGAACGCAAAUGCAGGAGGGAGAGGUGCCAAGAAGCAGCUGUACACGCUGAACUC